CGGGACGGGUGAGUAAUGUCUGGGAAACUGCCUGAUGGAGGGGGAUAACUACUGAAACGGUAGCUAAUACCGCAUAACGUCGCAAGACCAAAGAGGGGGACCUUCGGGCCUCUUGCCAUCGGAUGUGCCCAGAUGGGAUUAGCUAGUAGGUGGGGUAACGGCUCACCUAGGCGACGAUCCCUAGCUGGUCUGAGAGGAUGCCAGCCACACUGGAACUGAGACACGGUCCAG
rnacentral:rRNA from 1 species